UGAAGAUUUGAGAUAUAGUAAAGUUGUAAAGAAGAUGAAGAAGGAUUCAACUAUUGUAUUCACUCUUGUUUGUGUGUUGUGUUUGCUCGGUUUACAACAAUGUAUGGUAUUGGGAAAAGAUCAACAGUGUCGAACAUCAAAAGAUUGUAGUCCUGAUUUGUGUAUAAUUGGAUAUGUGCUUUGUUUUGAUGGAAAAUGUGUAUGUAGUGACAAAAUAAGGAGAAAUGUUUCUUUCAAGAAAGACAAUGUUUAUAUGGGUAAAUGUUCUUGUGGAUGUAAACCACAUUGCGUCCUUGGAUUGUGUACAUGCCCUUGUUGUUGAGAGACAAAUUUAAGACAUGUUUGAUGUAUACGAGAGUAAUUCAUCUUAUAUUAAUAAAAAC